GGCUUGGUAGCUUAAUUGGUAAAGCACUCGUCUAGCAAAGUCCUGGGUUCAAAUCCCAGCCGAGCAC
rnacentral:tRNA from 1 species